AGUCGAACGGUAGCACAGAAGAGCUUGCUCUUCGGGUGACGAGUGGCGGACGGGUGAGUAAUGUCUGGGGAUCUGCCCGAUAGAGGGGGAUAACCACUGGAAACGGUGGCUAAUACCGCAUAACGUCGCAAGACCAAAGAGGGGGACCUUCGGGCCUCUCACUAUCGGAUGAACCCAGAUGGGAUUAGCUAGUAGGUGGGGUAACGGCUCACCUAGGCGACGAUCCCUAGCUGGUCUGAGAGGAUGACCAGCCACACUGGAACUGAGACACGGUCCAGACUCCUACGGGAGGCAGCAGUGGGGAAUAUUGCACAAUGGGCGCAAGCCUGAUGCAGCCAUGCCGCGUGUAUGAAGAAGGCCUUCGGGUUGUAAAGUACUUUCAGCGGGGAGGAAGGGAGCGAGGUUAAUAACCUCGUUCAUUGACGUUACCCGCAGAAGAAGCACCGGCUAACUCCGUGCCAGCAGCCGCGGUAAUACGGAGGGUGCAAGCGUUAAUCGGAAUUACUGGGCGUAAAGCGCACGCAGGCGGUCUGCUAAGUCAGAUGUGAAAUCCCCGGGCUUAACCUGGGAACUGCAUUUGAAACUGGCAGGCUAGAGUCUUGUAGAGGGGGGUAGAAUUC
rnacentral:rRNA from 1 species